rnacentral:rRNA from 1 species
UACGUAGGGUGCGAGCGUUGUCCGGAAUUAUUGGGCGUAAAGAGCUCGUAGGCGGUUCGGUAAGUCGGGGUGUGAAAAACUUUUGGGCUCAACCCCAAAGCCUGCACCCGAUACUGCUGUGACUCGAGUCCGGGUAGGGGGAGUGGGGGAAUUCCUGGUGUAGCGGUGGAAUGCGCAGGAUAUCAGGAGGAACACCGGUGGCGAAGGCGCCACUCUGGGCCGGUACUGACGCUGAGGGAGCGAAAGCGUGGGGAGCGAACAGG